AUUGAACGCUGGCGGCAGGCCUAACACAUGCAAGUCGAGCGGUAGAGCGAAGCUUUCUUCUCUUGAGAGCGGCGGACGGGUGAGUAAUGCCUAGGAAUCUGCCUGGUAGUGGGGGAUAACGUUCGUAAACGGACGCUAAUACCGCAUACGUCCUACUUGAGAAAGCAGGGGACCUUCGGUCCUUGCGCUAUCAGAUGAGCCUAGGUCGGAUUAGCUAGUUGGUGGGGUAAUGGCUCACCAAGGCGACGAUCCGUAACUGGUCUGAGAGGAUGAUCAGUCACACUGGAACUGAGACACGGUCCAGAAUCCUACGGGAGGCAGCAGUGGGGAAUAUUGGACAAUGGGCGAAAGCCUGAUCCAGCCAUGCCGCGUGUGUGAAGAAGGUCUUCGGAUUGUAAAGCACUUUAAGUUGGGAGGAAGGGAAGUAAAUUAAUACUUUGCUGUUUUGACGUUACCGACAGAAUAAGCACCGGCUAACUCUGUG
rnacentral:rRNA from 1 species